rnacentral:lncRNA from 1 species
UUUUGAAAGCAAAUGAAUCAAACGAACAAUCUUCAUGGUUAAAUGCAUAGAAAGGAAAUAAGAAGAUAUAACCAAUGAUUGACAUAAGGAGAAGCAGUUAUGAAUAUAGAAAUUGAUAUAAAGGAGAUGUCAUACAUCACAAAACACUAAAUCAAAGUCUACAGGUAGGAGACUUGAUUUGUUGAUUUUUUUUUUUUUUUUUAUCAAAACCAAUAAUUAACAAAGAUGUGAAUGAGACAAUUAUCCACUAGAGUCCAAAUAUUGCACGGUAUGUUACUCUGUGGCGGAUUAAGAGGAUGAGGGGUGCAUGGUCCGAGGGUUGGUACCCCUAUUUUGGACGAUCGAUGCAUUUGCAUAUACUUGACCCCUUUUAUCCUGGGUGGGGAACCCCCUUUUAAAAAUGGCUUGAUCCGCCCCUGUUACUAUAUAUGCAUGCUUUCAACAAUGAGCCAAUCCCAUACCUUAUAGUGAGCUUAUUAUCUAUCUGCACAGACAUUGCUUGUUGACUGUAUGGUGGCAAAUAUUCAGUACACAUUCAAGACGAUAUAAAACGUCUAUAGAUAACUUAAGUAGCUUCUGCAAAUUUGUAAAAAAAAAUGGAGGGGGAGGAACGAUGGACGAAAAUAAUGUGUUGGUGAUGGUCGUAACUUUUGCUUACGGAUACGAAAGUUUUAUUAUGUUUCAGUUCACAUAUAACAAACAAUACAAACAUGAGAGCUUUUUACCAAAUAUAAAUAACAAACAUUAAAACACAGAACAUGCAGAUAAGAUAUAUAAGCAGAAGCAGCAAUUUUUAUUUUCAAUGGAUAGAAACAGCACUCAAAGCAUAACUAAGCUUCACAUCUAAACAUACUAAAACGGAAGAAUAAAUAAAAAUUAAAGAUCAACUAAGCCAGCUUUGCAACAAACUUUAAUUUUGCUUAGUUUACAUGUAUUAGUUUUGAGUUUGUUUUUUGUUUUUUUUGCUCAAAUAUUAUAAGCAAUUGAAUAUGUCAAUGUUAAGACUGUGUGGCUAACUCUCUUAAUCUGAUGCUAUUAGAGAUAGGAUCACUAUUUGGCGUAUGAUGGAAUGAGUGUCAGUCUGGCAUGUGUCAUCUAACCAGGACAUUGUUUCCAUAAUACAUUGAUAAGUUUAUGUGAUACUUGUAAAACCUUGGUUUUACAGACUUUCAACAUCAAUUCAUUGAUAAAUAAAAGAGGUGGGACAUCUCAGCAUGUGUAUUCUUUAAUAAAAUAUUUUUUUCAUUUUGUCUUAAGGUUCUAUGUAAAUAGAUAUAGGAAGAUGUGGUAUGAGUGCCAAUGAGACAACUCUCCAUCCAUGUAACAAUUUAUAAAAGUAAACCAUUAUAGGUCAAGGUACGCGUUUCAACACGGAGCCUUGGCUCAUUACGAACAGCAAGCUAUAAAGGGCCCCGAAAAUUACUAGUGUAAAACCCUUCAAACGGGAAAACCAACUUUCUAAUCUAUAUAAAAACGGGAUAAAAACAAGACAUACAUGUUUAUCCUAUGACAUCCCCCUUAUUCUCCUUUUGCAUUUAUCUGACAUUGAAAUUUGUAUUUUGCAAUUAUCUUAUAAUCAGUUGAUAUUUAAUUAAGCUUCAAAUAAAGAUAAGAUGUGUGAGAACUGCCAAAUAUACUCUCUACCAGAGACCAAAUGACAUAGAUUUAGUUAACAAUUAUAGGUCAUGUUCAUUUACAAAUUAAAACAAUUUCUGUUAGAACUUUUCAUAAAUAAAAAAAGAAGAUGUGGUAUGAUUGCCAAUUAGACAACUGUCCACAAGAGACCACAAUGACUCAGACAUUAACAACUAUAGGUCACCGUACGGCUUCAACAAUGAGCCAUAUGUAUGUAUCGUUAAAGGCUAAUUCACUCAAAUAAACAGCAUACUUAAGGAUUAUAAAUGUUUUUUUUUUAUUUUCAGUAUGUUGAGAGAUGUGCAGAGCAAGCCUCUUUGUUUGAAAAGGAAUCACAGUGGUUAAGACAUCAUCUUUCAAAUAAAGUAAC